rnacentral:rRNA from 1 species
UGGGGAAUAUUGCACAAUGGGCGCAAGCCUGAUGCAGCCAUGCCGCGUGUAUGAAGAAGGCCUUCGGGUUGUAAAGUACUUACAGCGGGGAGGAAGGUGUUGUGGUUAAUAACCUCAGCAAUUGACGUUACCCGCAGAAGAAGCACCGGCUAACUCCGUGCCAGCAGCCGCGGUAAUACGGAGGGUGCAAGCGUUAAUCGGAAUUACUGGGCGUAAAGCGCACGCAGGCGGUCUGUCAAGUCGGAUGUGAAAUCCCCGGGCUCAACCUGGGAACUGCAUCCGAAACUGGCAGGCUUGAGUCUUGUAGAGGGGGGUAGAAUUCCAGGUGUAGCGGUGAAAUGCGUAGAGAUCUGGAGGAAUACCGGUGGCGAAGGCGGCCCCCUGGACAAAGACUGACGCUCAGGUGCGAAAGCGUGGGGAGCAAACA